rnacentral:rRNA from 1 species
GUGCCAGCCGCCGCGGUAAUACCGGCAGCUCAAGUGAUGUCCCAUAUUAUUGGGCCUAAAGCGUCCGUAGCUGGCCGCGCAAGUCCGUCGGGAAAUCCACCUGCCCGACAGGUGGGCGUCCGGCGGAAACUGUGUGGCUUGGAACCGGAAGGCUCAGAGAGUACGUCCGGGGUAGGAGUGAAAUCCCGUAAUCCCGGACGGACUACCGAUGGCGAAAGCACUCUGAGAAGACGGACCCGACAGUGAGGGACGAAAGCUGGGAUCUCCAACCGGAUUAGAAACCCCAUAGUCC